UAGGGAAUCUUCCGCAAUGGACGCAAGCCUGACGGAGCAACGCCGCGUGUGUGAAGAAGGAUUUCGGUUCGUAAAACUCUGUUGUUAGAGAAGAACAGCGCAUAGAGUAACUGUUAUGCGUGUGACGGUAUCUAACCAGAAAGCCACGGCUAACUACGUGCCAGCAGCCGCGGUAAUACGUAGGUGGCAAGCGUUGUCCGGAUUUAUUGGGCGUAAAGCGAGCGCAGGCGGUCAAUUAAGUCUGAUGUGAAAGCCCCCGGCUCAACCGGGGAGGGUCAUUGGAAACUGGUUGACUUGAGUGCAGAAGAGGAGAGUAGAAUUCCAUGUGUAGCGGUGAAAUGCGUAGAUAUAUGGAGGAACACCAGUGGCGAAGGCGACCCUCUGGUCUGUAACUGACGCUGAGGCUCGAAAGCGUGGGUAGCAAACAGG
rnacentral:rRNA from 1 species